UGGGGAAUAUUGCACAAUGGGCGCAAGCCUGAUGCAGCCAUGCCGCGUGUAUGAAGAAGGCCUUCGGGUUGUAAAGUACUUUCAGCGGGGAGGAAGGGAGUAAAGUUAAUACCUUUGCUCAUUGACGUUACCCGCAGAAGAAGCACCGGCUAACUCCGUGCCAGCAGCCGCGGUAAUACGGAGGGUGCAAGCGUUAAUCGGAAUUACUGGGCGUAAAGCGCACGCAGGCGGUUUGUUAAGUCAGAUGUGAAAUCCCCGGGCUCAACCUGGGAAAUGCAUCUGAUACUGGCAAGCUUGAGUCUCGGAGAGGGGGGUAGAAUUCCAGGUGUAGCGGUGAAAUGCGUAGAGAUCUGGAGGAAUACCGGUGGCGAAGGCGGCCCCCUGGACAAAGACUGACGCUCAGGUGCGAAAGCGUGGGGAGCAAACAGG
rnacentral:rRNA from 1 species